rnacentral:rRNA from 1 species
UACGGAGGAUCCAAGCGUUAUCCGGAAUCACUGGGUUUAAAAGGUCCGUAGGCGGUUUGGUAAGUCAGUGGUGAAAGCCCAUCGCUCAACGGUGGAACGGCCAUUGAUACUGCCAGACUUGAAUUAUUAGGAAGUAACUAGAAAUAUGUAGUGUAGCGGUGAAAUGCUUAGAGAUUACAUGGAAUACCAAUUGCGAAGGCAGGUUACUACUAAUGGAUUGACGCUGAUGGACGAAAAGCGUGGGGUAGCGAAACAGG